UACGGAGGGUGCAAGCGUUAAUCGGAAUUACUGGGCGUAAAGCGUGCGCAGGCGGUUUGUUAAGUCUGUUGUGAAAUCCCCGAGCUCAACUUGGGAAUUGCAAUGGAUACUGGCAGGCUGGAGUAUGGUAGAGGAAGGUGGAAUUCCCGGUGUAGCAGUGAAAUGCGUAGAGAUUGGGAAGAACACCAGUGGCGAAGGCGGCUAUCUGGACGGUUUCUGACGCUAAGACGCGAAAGCGUGGGGAGCAAACAGG
rnacentral:rRNA from 1 species